UGCCUUUCAGAGGGGGAUAACAUUUGGAAACAGAUGCUAAUACCGCAUAAGAUUACAGUACCGCAUGAUACAGUGAUCAAAGGAGCAAUCCGCUGAAAGAUGGGCUCGCGUCCGAUUAGAUAGUUGGUGAGGUAACGGCUCACCAAGUCGACGAUCGGUAGCCGGACUGAGAGGUUGAACGGCCACAUUGGGACUGAGACACGGCCCAGACUCCUACGGGAGGCAGCAGUGGGGAAUAUUGCACAAUGGGCGAAAGCCUGAUGCAGCAACGCCGCGUGAGGGAAGACGGUUUUCGGAUUGUAAACCUCUGUUUUCGGUGACGAACAAAUGACGGUAACCGAGUAGGAAGCCACGGCUAACUACGUGCCAGCAGCCGCGGUAAUACGUAGGUGGCAAGCGUUAUCCGGAAUUACUGGGUGUAAAGGGAGCGCAGGCGGGAUAGCAAGUCAGCUGUGAAAACUAUGGGCUCAACCCAUAAACUGCAGUUGAAACUGUUAUUCUUGAGUGGAGUAGAGGCAAGCGGAAUUCCGAGUGUAGCGGUGAAAUGCGUAGAUAUUCGGAGGAACACCAGUGGCGAAGGCGGCUUGCUGGGCUCUAACUGACGCUGAGGCUCGAAAGUGUGGGGAGCAAACAGGAUUAGAUACCCUGGUAGUCCACACUGUAAACGAUGAUUGCUAGGUGUGGGGGGUCUGACCCCCUCCGUGCCGGAG
rnacentral:rRNA from 1 species